rnacentral:rRNA from 1 species
UGAGUAACCUGCCCUUAACUCUGGGAUAAGCCUGGGAAACUGGGUCUAAUACCGGAUAUGACUCCUCAUCGCAUGGUGGGGGGUGGAAAGCUUUAUUGUGGUUUUGGAUGGACUCGCGGCCUAUCAGCUUGUUGGUGAGGUAAUGGCCUACCAAGGCGACGACGGGUAGCCGGCCUGAGAGGGUGACCGGCCACACUGGGACUGAGACACGGCCCAGACUCCUACGGGGAGGCAG